rnacentral:rRNA from 1 species
GACGAACGCUGGCGGCGUGCCUAAUACAUGCAAGUCGAACGCAGUGGGGACGGGUGAGUAACAAGUGGGUAACCUCCCAUCAGAGGGGAUAACACUUGGAAACACGUGCUAAACCGAUACUGAUGGAUGGUCCCGCGGUGCAUUAGCCAGUUGGUGGGGUAACGGCUCACCAAGGCCACGAUGCAUAGCCGACCUGAGAGGGUGAUCGGCCACACUGGGACUGAGACACGGCCCAGACUCCUACGGGAGGCAGCAGUAGGGAAUAUUGGGCAAUGGACGAAAGUCUGACGGAGCAACGCCGCGUGAGUGAAGAAGGUUUUCGGAUCGUAAAGCUCUGUUGUUAGAGAAGCGGUAUCUAACCAGGAAGCCACGGCUAACUACGUGCCAGCAGCCGCGGUAAUAC